rnacentral:lncRNA from 1 species
CACUCUUUUUCAAUUUAAUCUCGAAUUUUUUUUUUUUUUUUUGCAAUAAAGUCUCUAAAUUUUUGAUUUUAUUUUAAUUAAGUCCCGGCCAUUAGAUAACUGUUAAAAUUGACGAAAAAUACCACGUCAGCGCCACGAAGGCGCCAUGCCAGCGCCACGGUGGCGCUGUGUUAGCGGACUGCAAAGAAAAAAAAGGUUGGGGACCGAAUUGAAAAACAGAGCAAAGGUCGUGGACCAAUGGUAUAAUUAACCCAUUAAAUUUAUAAAUUCAAAAAAAAUUUUAAUUUAAUAUUUAAAUUUUAAAUUUAAAUUUUGAUUUUGGAUUCAAAUUUAAAUUGGAAUUCAAAUUCUGAUUUGUAUUUAAUUUUAAAUUUUU